rnacentral:misc_RNA from 1 species
ACAGCAUAUUUCGCCUACUUCUGAUAAAACUUGCAUUUGGCAACAGCUUCAGCACUAUACUCAAUUCCCCGAUUUCAACAACUAUCUCGCUUUUAUUUUUGCCCGCGCUCAGGGCACACCAGUUGAAAUUCGACAGGCUGCAGGUCUAUUGCUAAAAAAUAAUCUGAGAAGUGCAUUCAAAUCCAUGGAUCCUGCCUAUCAACAAUAUAUAAAAUCAGAG